AUUACAACAGUACUUUCAGGUGCUCGUUCAGAGCUUAAAGGGAACCCGGUGCAAAUCCGGGACGGGCCCGCCGCUGUAACCGGGGACGAACAUUACACUCAUGUCACUGACCUUAUGGGCCGGGAAGACGUAAUAUAGUAGGCUGAUCCGGAAGUCAGAAGACCUGUCUGAAAGUAUUUGUGCAA
rnacentral:ncRNA from 2 species